rnacentral:rRNA from 1 species
GAUGAACGCUGGCGGCGUGCCUAAUAUAUGCAAGUCGAGCGAACAGACGAGGAGCUUGCUCCUCUGACGUUAGCGGCGGACGGGUGAGUAACACGUGGAUAACCUACCUAUAAGACUGGGAUAACUUCGGGAAACCGGAGCUAAUAACGGAUAAUAUAUUGAACCGCAUGGUUCAAUAGUGAAAGACGGUUUUGCUGUCACUUAUAGAUGGAUCCGCGCCGCAUUAGCUAGUUGGUAAGGUAACGGCUUACCAAGGCAACGAUGCGUAGCCGACCUGAGAGGGUGAUCGGCCACACUGGAACUGAGACACGGUCCAGACUCCUACGAGAGGCAGCAGUAGGGAAUCUUCCGCAAUAGGCGAAAGCCUGACGGAGCAACGCCGCGUGAGUGAUGAAGGUCUUCGGAUCGUAAAACUCUGUUAUUAGGGAAGAACAAAUGUGUAAGUAACUAUGCACGUCUUGACGGUACCUAAUCAGAAAGCCACGGCUAACUACGUG